CCUACGGGUGGCUGCAGUGGGGAAUAUUGCACAAUGGGGGAAACCCUGAUGCAGCGACGCCGCGUGAGUGAGGAAGUAUUUCGGUAUGUAAAGCUCUAUCAGCAGGGAAGAAAAUGACGGUACCUGACUAAGAAGCCCCGGCUAACUACGUGCCAGCAGCCGCGGUAAUACGUAGGGGGCAAGCGUUAUCCGGAUUUACUGGGUGUAAAGGGAGCGUAGACGGAAUAGCAAGUCUGAUGUGAAAACCCGGGGCUCAACUCCGGGAGUGCAUUGGAAACUGUUGAUCUAGAGUGUCGGAGAGGCAAGCGGAAUUCCUAGUGUAGCGGUGAAAUGCGUAGAUAUUAGGAGGAACACCAGUGGCGAAGGCAUCUCACGAAUCCGCGAUUGACGCUGAUGCACGAAAGCGUGGGUAUCAAACAGGAUUAGAUACCCUUGUAGUC
rnacentral:rRNA from 1 species